GAUGAACGCUGGCGGCGUGCCUAAUACAUGCAAGUCGAGCGAACAGACGAGGAGCUUGCUCCUCUGACGUUAGCGGCGGACGGGUGAGUAACACGUGGAUAACCUACCUAUAAGACUGGGAUAACUUCGGGAAACCGGAGCUAAUACCGGAUAACAUGUUGAACCGCAUGGUUCAACAGUGAAAGACGGUCUUGCUGUCACUUAUAGAUGGAUCCGCGCCGCAUUAGCUAGUUGGUAAGGUAACGGCUUACCAAGGCAACGAUGCGUAGCCGACCUGAGAGGGUGAUCGGCCACACUGGAACGGAGACACGGUCCAGACUCCUACGGGAGUCAGCAGUAGGGAAUCUUCCGCAAUGGGCGAAAGCCUGACGGAGCAACGCCGCGUGAGUGAAGAAGGUCUUCGGAUCGUAAAACUCUGUUAUUAGGGAAGAACAAAUGUGUAAGUAACUAUGCACGUCUUGACGGUACCUAAUCAGAAAGCCACGGCUAACUACGUGCCAGCAGCCGCCGUAA
rnacentral:rRNA from 1 species